UAUUUCAAAUACCCAAAACCUCCUGACUACAUACUGUAAUUACUGCUGAAAAUGUAGGCCAUAAAAAUGGCUUUUUAUUAGCAUAAUAUCAAAAUGAACCUUUUUAAGAAUUCAAAUAUCUCAUCUGCAACCAUAACUGCAUUUGAAAAUGCAGCUAGUCAGUUGCAAGUCACUCAGUAUUCGCUAAAACAAAACCAUUAUGUUUACCACACAAAUCUGUUAGUCCUUGCAGAAACAUU